GAUGAACGCUGGCGGCGUGCCUAACACAUGCAAGUCGGACGGUGCCUUCGGGCACAGUGGCGCACGGGUGAGGAACACGUAGCUGACCUGCCCUGGAGCGCGGGAUAACCCUGGGAAACGAGGGCUAAGACCGCCUACGCUCACGCGCUGUAGAGGCGCGUGAGGAAAACCUACGGGUGCUCUGGGAGGGGGCUGCGGCCCAUCAGGUAGUUGGUGGGGUAAGAGCCUACCAAGCCGACGACGGGUCGGGGGUCGUGAGAGGAUGAUCCCCCACCACUGGGACGUGAGACACGGCCCACGACUCCUACGGGAGGCAGCAGUGAGGAAUCUUGCACAAUGGGGGCGAACCCUGAUGCAGCGACGCCGCGUGGCGAUGAAGGUCUUCGGAUCGUAAANCCCUUUUCUGCGUGACGAGGAGAGGACGGUAGCGCAGGAAGAAGCGUCGGCUAACUACGUGCC
rnacentral:rRNA from 1 species